rnacentral:rRNA from 1 species
ACGAACGCUGGCGGCGUGCUUAACCCAUGCCAGUCGCACGGAAAGGCCCUGCGUUUGUGGGGUGCUCGAGUGGCGAACGGGUGAGUAACACGUGAGUAACCUGCCCUUGACUUUGGGAUAACUUCAGGAAACUGGGGCUAAUACCGGAUAGGAGCUCCUGCUGCAUGGUGGGGGUUGGAAAGUUUCGGCGGUUGGGGAUGGACUCGCGGCUUAUCAGCUUGGUGGUGGGGUAGUGGCUUACCAAGGCUUUGACGGGUAGCCGGCCUGAGAGGGUGACCGGCCACAUUGGGACUGAGAUACGGCCCAGACUCCUACGGGAGGCAGCAGUGGGGAAUAUUGCACAAUGGGCGGAAGCCUGAUGCAGCAACGCCGCGUGCGGGAUGACGGCCUUCGGGUUGUAAACCGCUUUCGCCUGUGACGAAGCGUGAGUGACGGUAAUGGGUAAAGAAGCACCGGCUAACUACGUG